AGGAGGAAAUGGAACUUGAGGACCUGCAUCUGAGGGUCCUCGUCCGCACUUGGACCUGAUGGAGAUGGUGAGAUCCUGGACCUUAAACCUCAUGUCAAAAUGAGAUGAGACUUUGCGGAUCUUGGGAGGAAGGAAAUGUAUCUUAUGUGUGGGAUAGCUGUGGUUGAAGGGUAGACUAUGGUCGAUUAAGGAUAAUCAUGAAUUCUUUGCAUCUUCUCUCAUCAAGAAGUGGAGUCUGUAGCCCCCUCUUUGAAUCCGAGUUGCUCUGUGACUUGCUUUGACCAACACAGUGCAGCAGAAAGCCAGCCACCACAUAAAGACUUCUGAUCUCCCUGCUGGAGAGAGAAGCCCUGGAGGAUAAGUGACAACAAAGAGUGAGAGAGAAGCCCAGUCAUUCUGCUCACUCUCCGUGGUGCCAGAGAGUGUUAGAAAAACCAUCUUGGAUCCUCUGGCUUUAGCCGAAGUGGCUUAGCCAACACCCCACGGAGCAGAGAUGAGCUGUUCCCACCAGCCUUGCCUUGUUGCUGAAUCAUGAACAAACAAACAGUUGUUAUUUUAAGACACUAAAUGUUGGGCUUAACGUUUACCCGGUGAUAGAAAACUGAUACGGGAAUUGUUACCAGAAAUGGGAUUUGAAUCCACACAGACAUUCAAUCCAACACGUGCCUCACUGGAUUUCAAAUUGUUAUGGCCCAUUGACGAUGCCAGCAUUUCAGUACAUCCUCUCUGCAGCCACCAUGGAAAACAGUACGGAGGGUUCUUAAAAGACGAAAAAUAGAGCUACCAUAGGAUGCAGCCAUACCACUCCUGGGCAUAUAUUCAGAAAAGACAAAAACUCCACUUGGAAAAGAUUUGUGCACCCCAGAGUCCACAGCAACACCGCGUUCAAUGGCCAAGACACGGAGACAACCUUCGAGUCCAUCAGCAGGAUGAAGAAGACGUACUUUUAUGCACACGCACACACACGCACACACACACACGAUGGACUGUUACUCGGCCAUGAAAAGAAUGAAAUAAUGCCGUUUGCAGCACUUCGGAUGGACCUAGAGACUCUCCUACUAAGUGAAGUAAGUCCGACAGAGGAAGACAAAUACCACAUGGUUGUCACGUAUAUAUGGUCAUGAGUGUCACUUACACAUGGAACCUGAAAUAUAAGAAACACGAGCUUAUUUACAAGACAGAAACAGACUCACAGACAUAGGAAAAAACUUACAGUGACCAAAGGAGGACGGGGUGGGGGUUAAAUUACCAGCUUGGGAUGAGCAAAUACACACGACUAUAUAUAAACGAGGUAAACAACAAGAUCCUAUUUUGUAGCACUCAGAAGCAUAUUCAGGAGUUCCCGUCGUGGCGCAGUGGUUAACGAAUCCGACUAGGAACCGUGAGGUUGCGGGUUCGAUCCCUGCCCUUGCUCAGUGGGUUAAGGAUCUGGCGUUGCUGUGAGCUGUAGUGUAGGUUGCAGACUUGGCUUGGAUCCUAUGUUGCUGUGGCUCUGGCAUAGGCCAGUGGCUACAGCUUUGAUUAGACCCCUAGCCUGGGAACCUCCAUAUCCCAUGGGAGCGGCCCAAGAAAUCACAAAAAGACAAAAAAAAUAAAAAUUAAAAAUAAAUAAAAGAAGAAUAUUCAAUACCUUGUAGUAACCUGUCCUGGAAAAGAGUCUGGAAAGAAUAUAUAUAUAUAUAUUCAAACAUAUAUGUAUAACUGAAUCACUGCUGUACCCCAGAAACUAACACGACAUUGCAAAAUCAACUCUACUUCAAUAAAAAAA
rnacentral:lncRNA from 1 species